AAGGUUUUAGUUUAUUAUUUAGAACAAAGAAUUGUAAAUUCUUAGGAUUUUAUCUUG
rnacentral:tRNA from 1 species